rnacentral:misc_RNA from 1 species
UCUCCGUUGGUGAACCAGCGGAGGGAUCAUUACAGAGUUACUACUCCAAACCCAUUGUGAACCUUACCUAUGUUCUGUUGCCUCGGCGGCGCGGUCAGCGCCCGAAAGGACGACGGCCCCCGCCGGCAGCACCAAACUCUUGAAUUUUACAGCGGAUUACAGUUCUGAUUUGAAACAAAAAAAAACAAGUUAAAACUUUCAACAACGGAUCUCUUGGUUCUG